UUUUUUUUUUUAAUUUAUUUCUAUUGUGCCCUUGGUUUAUUGGUAACUCUUUUGAUGAUCACAGUCCUCCAAAUUGAUUUCCAUUCUCUAAUGUGCAGUGUGAAGAAAGCAUGUAAAAGUGUCUUUACAAGUCUUAAGGAUCUACAUUAGUAUUUUUUAGAUUAGAUUCAUCUAAUAAAAUGGAUAUUACCUGGUCCUACUUCCAUGUUGGGGAUUGGCUAGAACUGGAGUAGACCAUAACAAUCUGAAUUUGGUAAUUUAGAAAAGAGCUGGAAAACAUUUAUCCAGGAAAUUGCUAUGCAUAUGAUGAAUGAAUAGCAAUUCUAAGUGUAGACAUAAGUAAAAGUUUUACAAGCCAAAGGUAAUAUUCCCCACCUGUGCUUUAUAAAGCACUAGAAUAUGAAACUAUGUUAACAUAUUUGAAAUUAUGUGGUAUGGAAAAAGGGUUGUAUAAGAAAGUGCAUUUGCACUUAGACCACACUAAAUAGAAGUUUUCACUAGAGUAUUUUAUGAAGAUUUUAAUAUAGUAAUUUGAAUUGUGAUUCUUCAAGAAGGGUAUCAAGUAUACAUUUAUUUGCUAAAUAUAUUUCAUGCAAAUAUACACUUUUUAAAAGUUUCUUAUGAUUCCUCAUAUAUUUUUAAGCACUGUGAAAUAGUGGGAUGGGAAAAUAAAGAAAAACUGAUAUAGCUGAUGAGAAGUUGAACUUUGGAGAAGGAUGUGUGACAAGCUAAUAUUGAAACUUUUAAUAUCUGCCAAACGUUCACAGUAGUAUGAUUAUUAUCUAUAUAAUUACUACUAUUACAAUGAAUUGUGCAAAUGCUGUGGCAGACACCUUAAGUAGAAAUAAAUUUUACAGGAAAUAUGCCACAGAUAAUUUUUAUAUUAUCUGCUAUCUUGGCUUUAUAGGCAGUUAUAUGUUUGACUUCUUAUAGCCUCUAGACUUUAUCUGGGAUUAUUCUGUUGAUCAAAAAGAAUAAAAAAUUACCCAAUGAACGUGAUAUUAUUUGGUACUGACACACUUACCUUAAAAUCACAAAGUUUUCCAUAUUCGGAGAAAUAUACUUGGGAAAUACAGUAUAUUUUCAACGGCCAAAUGGUAUUGGGGCAAUGCUUUCUAACGGACUCAUCUCCAAAUAGUAUGUAUCAUAAAAAUUUUAUCCAUUUUCAUUGAUAUACAUGAACCUUCCAAACUAUAUAAAAUAUAGGAAGUUUUUCUAAAAAGAUGUAAAAAUAGCUAUUCUGCUAGGAUAUAAAUAUUUUUAUAAUAUCUGUAUUAACUGUUGUCCACUCAUGUUUUAUGCUGUCCAUAUAUCCUAGAUUGAGAAAUACUUUUAUAUCUGUCAUGGAUUUAAAGCAAUUGUGGCCAUCUGGUAUGUAUUUCAUAGAAGCAUUAAACAUAUUUUUGAAACGUGCAACCUUCUUAUGCAGUGUUGUGUUUUAACAUUUUAGUGAUUAUAUUUAUUUGUUUCAUGGCACGUGGCUUUUCUGUUCACACUGUUAAUAAUUAAUGCCCCUAACCUCUUACUACUAAAAAGUGUUAAAUCAGAGUUUCCAAUUCAUGUGCCAUUGACCCUUUACUUAAAUGUGAUCUAGAUCUAAAUAUUAUAAACAUGAUUUAACAAACCAUAUGCUCACUCAUCUGUUCUUUAUUGUAUUAAUGUGUCCCCUUGAAAGGACUCAAAGUGAAUGUAUAGUAGCCAUGUGUAGUAUGGCCAGUAGCUAACAGGUAGUCCUGACUUAUUUUUAAGAUAAAAAUUAUAAAAUAAAAAUAAAUAAUAAAGUAGUAAAGUAAAAGCCAAUCGUAAGAUAUAUAAAUUAUAAUGUAAUAAAGUAUCAUUUUAUGACAAAAAAAACAAAAAUCACGGCACCCCACUAUUAAACAGUCUGGUAAUUUAGUAUGUUUGGAAAACUGAAUCUACUCAAACUUAAGUGUGGAAAUCUCCACAUUCCUGUGUAUAUUCUUGAAUAGGUUUUUGACUUGACUGUAAUCUACAAAUUUGUGAAACAGCAAAGUAAAAGGCAAAAACUUAAAUUGGUUCUUUCUGGAACCAGCUUCAAUUUAAACUUUCAAAAAAUUGACUUUUUUUUUUUUUUACUAUACUUUAGAAUGACUUGACGCAGUACACUAUUCUAGGGAUUAACUGGUUCUUGACUUAUUACUUAUUAUUAUCAUAUUAUUUAUGAUAACCAACCAUCCUGGAUAUAUUUUCAUAUUUAGAUUUUAUGUAUUCUUCUACUAUUUUUUGUAUUCUGAUCUUUUCAUUUCUAUUAAAACCACAGUUACUUUCUUUCUAUGGUUCUUCCUUGAACUGAACUUCCUUGCUUCCUUUUUUCUUUUAAGAUUUUAUUUAUUUAUGGGAGAGAGGGUGCAAGAGUGAAGGGGGAGGGGAAAAAGCAGGGGGAGAAGCAGUUUCCCCACUGAGCAGGGAGCCAGUUGUGGGGCUUAAUCUCUGGACCCUAGGAUGAUGACCUGAACUGAAGGGAGAUGCUUUGAAUGACUGAGCCACCCAGGGUUUCCUGAAAGCCCUGCGUCUUAAAUAAUAUUUGAGCUAAAUGUGGGAAUUAGACAUUGGGUCUUAUCAAUAGAUAAUAGUCAAAACAAAACAAAACACAAAAAUCUACCGGGCUAUCAGAAAGUUUACUCGCUAAUGAUAUCUGCAGACAUUGGCUCGGGACCUUGUAUGAAUUGAAAUAAUUUUCUUUAAUUCAGAAGGUAAUAUAAACUAUAACAUCUCUUGACUCAGGUGAUUUAGAACAAUCCGUAUAAUGAGCACAAUAAGAAAAGCUGGAAAAAAGGAUAUAUGUAUAUAUCCUUUUAUAUAUAUACAUAUAUAUAUAUAUUUCACAUACAGAUAUAUAUUUAUGUGUUAUAUAAAAUAUCCAUUAUAUU
rnacentral:lncRNA from 1 species